rnacentral:rRNA from 1 species
GACAGAGGGUGCAAACGUUUGUUCGGAUUUACUGGGCGUAAAGCGCGUGUAGGCGGCUUGGCAAGUUGGAUGUGAAAGCCCACGGCUCAACCGUGGAAGCGCAUCCAAAACUGCUUCGCUCGAGUCUCGGAGAGGAAGGUGGAAUGCUUGGUGUAGAGGUGAAAUUCGUAGAUAUCAAGCAGAACACCUGCGGCGAAGGCGGCCUUCUGGACGAUGACUGACGCUGAGACGCGAAAGCGUGGGGAGCAAACAGG